rnacentral:lncRNA from 1 species
GAUGCAGUUGAGAGAGAGUUUUUACAACCGUGUAAACUUGUGUAGUGUAGGAAUUGGAAACAUCAGCAAUACAAAAUGGUUCUCUUCGUUCAUGACUGAUGAAGACAAAGCCGUAUCUGGUGUGACCUUUGCGAAAUUGUCAUGCUUCUAUGUCACCUCACCAACGAUGAUGCUGUUACGAGAAGAAAGGAGCUGACACCUACAGUAACAUAAAUUUUAACGGUAUAUGUCUCAACUCUAGGCAAGUGCAAGAGGAACCAUAAGUGUCAAGAAAUUGAGCACGCUAGAGUCCUGAACUAGGAGGGAAAGCAUUUUUCUGUACAAU